UUUCUUCAGACCAUCAUCUUCUCGACCGACAACAUCCAGAGGUUUACUUAGUCCAGAUAUUCAGAAUCCAAAACGGAUACCUAUCCCAACCUUGCAGUAUGUUAAGGAAAACUUUAAAGAGUCUGAUGUACAGUCAAUGCAGAUAGUUGAUGAACAAAAUGGUAGCACGCUACACUGUUCUCUUGGACACAAAAAUAGAGGUAUAUAUAUAUAGAAAAU